GGCUGAACCAGCAACUUGGAGGAAUGAAUAUUGACAAUGUUAAAUAAAAUUCUAAAUAAAAUUAUGAUAAUGACAUAUUUUGUUUAUAAGUCUUGACCAAGUCACGUGCCAGCAGUCGCGGUAAUACGUGGAAGACAAGUGUUAUUCAUCGUAAAUAGGUUUAAAGGGUACCUAGACGGUUAAUUAAGCCUAGCGGUACUAAUUAACUAGAGUUUAAUACGAGAAGGGGAGUACGGUGAGUGUAGAGAUGAAAUUCGAUGAUACCACUUAGAAACUGGUAACGGCGAAAGCAACCUUUUAUGUAAUAACUGACGUUGAGGGACGAAGGCUCGAUUAAGUAACAGGAUUAGAUACCCUAGUAUUGUGAGCAGACAAUGAUGAAUGUCAUAUGUAAGAUAAUAAGUC
rnacentral:sRNA from 1 species